rnacentral:rRNA from 1 species
GGCUUAACACAUGCAAGUCGAGGGGCAGCAUGCUUUUAGCUUGCUAAGGCCGAUGGCGACCGGCGCACGGGUGAGUAACACGUAUCCAACCUGCCGUCUACUCUUGGACAGCCUUCUGAAAGGAAGAUUAAUACAAGAUGGCAUCAUGAGUCCGCAUGUUCACAUGAUUAAAGGUAUUCCGGUAGACGAUGGGGAUGCGUUCCAUUAGAUAGUAGGCGGGGUAACGGCCCACCUAGUCUUCGAUGGAUAGGGGUUCUGAGAGGAAGGUCCCCCACAUUGGAACUGAGACACGGUCCAAACUCCUACGGGAGGCAGCAGUGAGGAAUAUUGGUCAAUGGGCGAGAGCCUGAACCAGCCAAGUAGCGUGAAGGAUGACUGCCUUAUGGGUUGUAAACUUCUUUUAUAAAGGAAUAAAGUCGGGUAUGGAUACCCGUUUGCAUGUACUUUAUGAAUAAGGAUCGGCUAACUCCGUGCCAGCAGCCGCGGUAAUACGGAGGAUUCGAGCGUUAUCCGGAUUUAUUGGGUUUAAAGGGAGCGUAGAUGGAUGUUUAAGUCAGUUGUGAAAGUUUGCGGCUCAACCGUAAAAUUGCAGUUGAUACUGGAUAUCUUGAGUGCAGUUGAGGCAGGCGGAAUUCGUGGUGUAGCGGUGAAAUGCUUAGAUAUCACGAAGAACUCCGAUUGCGAAGGCAGCCUGCUAAGCUGCAACUGACAUUGAGGCUCGAAAGUGUGGGUAUCAAACAGGAUUAGAUACCCUGGUAGUCCACACGGUAAACGAUGAAUACUCGCUGUUUGCGAUAUACGGCAAGCGGCCAAGCGAAAGCGUUAAGUAUUCCACCUGGGGAGUACGCCGGCAACGGUGAAACUCAAAGGAAUUGACGGGGGCCCGCACAGGCGGAGGAACAUGUGGUUUAAUUCGAUGAUACGCGAGGAACCUUACCCGGGCUUAAAUUGCAGAUGAAUUACGGUGAAAGCCGUAAGCCGCAAGGCAUCUGUGAAGGUGCUGCAUGGUUGUCGUCAGCUCGUGCCGUGAGGUGUCGGCUUAAGUGCCAUAACGAGCGCAACCCUUGUUGUCAGUUACUAACAGGUUCUGCUGAGGACUCUGACAAGACUGCCAUCGUAAGAUGUGAGGAAGGUGGGGAUGACGUCAAAUCAGCACGGCCCUUACGUCCGGGGCUACACACGUGUUACAAUGGGGGGUACAGAGGGCCGCUACCACGCGAGUGGAUGCCAAUCCCAAAAACCUCUCUCAGUUCGGACUGGAGUCUGCAACCCGACUCCACGAAGCUGGAUUCGCUAGUAAUCGCGCAUCAGCCACGGCGCGGUGAAUACGUUCCCGGGCCUUGUACACACCGCCCGUCAAGCCAUGGGAGCCGGGGGUACCUGAAGUGCGUAAACGGGAGGAGCGCCCUAGGGUAAAACUGGUG